UACAGAGGUCCCAAGCGUUGUUCGGAUUCAUUGGGCGUAAAGGGUGUGUAGGUGGCGCCGUAAGUCGGGUGGUGAAAUUUACGGUAGCUUAACUCCGAAACUGCAUUCGAUACUGCGGUGCUUGAGGACUGGAGAGGAGACUGGAAUUCAUGGUGUAGCAGUGAAAUGCGUAGAGAUCAUGAGGAAGACCAGUGGCGAAGGCGGGUCUCUGGACAGUUCCUGACACUGAGACACGAAGGCCAGGGGAGCAAAACGGG
rnacentral:rRNA from 1 species